CUGUGUGUCUCUCUCUCUGUGUGUCUGUGUCUGUCUCUCUGUCUCUCUGUGUCUCUCUCUCUGUGUCUCUGUCUCUCUCUCUGUGUCUCUCUCUCUGUGUCUCUCUCUCUCAAAUUCAAGCUGCUUUUAUUGGCAUGAAAAACAUUGUGUCAAUAUUGCCAAAGCAACAAUGUAUACAAUAUACAUUGUAACAAAAUAAUAAAUGAUAGCAAAUAAUAAUACAAAAAUAAUAACAAUAAAAUGGUAACAGUCAAUAGUAGAAAUGUAAUAAAUAUAAAAUCAAAUUAUGGAAAAUGAAACUAUAACUAACUUAUAACUAAAUAACUGUCAUCUUCUUCUUUAUAUCAAUACUACAACUACAAUCAUCAUUACUACGACUACUACUACCAUCACUAAACUGUUAUCACUACAAUUACCAACCAUAUUUGGAAUGAUAAACAUUAAUAAUUAUAGUAAUAACAAUAAUAGUAAUAAUAAGUAAGUUACUGUUUACUAUGCAGAUGUUAUUAUUCAGUGUCCCUCAGGCUAUGGCAGGAAAAAACGUAUUUGGCUGCAAGAGGAGCCAUUGCUCCUUCGCCCAUGAGUAUUCUUUGUUUUUCCUCUGGGUUCAAUUUGUAAAAAUUUGGAAUAUAUGUAGUCAUUUCUGUGAAUAAUGAAUCUCUUUGUGAGGAAUAUUUCUCACAGUAAAGGAGAAAGUGCAUCUCUGUCUCUACCUCCCCUGUCAUGCAGUGACCACAUACACGCUCCUCUUUGGGUAGCCAUGUCUUUUUAUGUCUGCCGGUUUCUAUUGCCAAUCGGUGGUCACUCAGCCUGUACUUGGUAAGGAUCUGUCUCUGCUCCGUAUCUCUGACAGAGUAAAGAUAAUCAGCCAGUUCAUAUUCUCUGUUUAGGGUCAGAUAGCAAUUUAGUCGGCUUUGGGAUUUUGUUUUGUUUUUCCAGUAUUGUAAAUAUGAUUCCUUUGAUUGGUUCAUGAUUUUGCUUAUUGGAAUUCUUUCUUUUGAAGCAGUGCUGGUGUCAGCAUGGUUGGUGAGGUCCAACACCAGCUGACUGAGAGGACUCGUUUCUGGGCUCAGCUUGGUUGGUGAGGUCCAACAACAGCUGACUGAGAGGACUCGUUUCUGGGCUCAGCUUGGUUGGUGAGGUCCAACAACAGCUGACUGAGAGGACUCGUUUCUGGGCUCAGCUUGGUUGGUGAGGUCCAACAACAGCUGACUGAGAGGACUCGUUUCUGGGCUCAGCUUGGUUGGUGAGGUCCAACAACAGCUGACUGAGAGGGCUCGUUUCUGUGCUCCGCUUGGUUGGUGAGGUCCAACAACAGCUGACUGAGAGGACUCGUUUCUGUGCUCAGCUUGGUUGGUGAGGUCCAACAACAGCUGACUGAGAGGACUCGUUUCUGGGCUCAGCUUGGUUGGUGAGGUCCAACAACAGCUGACUGAGAGGGCUCGUUUCUGUGCUCAGCUUGGUUGGUGAGGUCCAACAACAGCUGACUGAGAGGACUCGCUGUGCUCAGCUUGGUUGGUGAGGUCCAACAACAGCUGACUGAGAGGGCUCGUUCUGGGCUCAGCUCUUGGGUUUGAAAUGCUUUAAAUUGCAGACUUGAAUCUGGACAUGAAUUUAGAUGUAGCUAAAAUUUGAAUGAUCUUUUCUGUAUUUUCAUUAUUACUAGAAAGCGGCCCCAUUCUUCCCUACAUGCAUUAGUUGGUGUAUUUCUCUGGACUUGUAGGAUUUUCCGACAGAAUUCUGCAUGUAGGGCUUCAAUUGGAUGUUUGUCCCACAUUUUAAAGUCCAGAUUAUUGAGUGGCCCCCAACCUCACUUCCAUAAAGAGCUAUUGGUAGGAUUACACUGUCAAAUAUUUUAGUCCAAAUUCUAAUUGGGAUGUUGAUUUUGAAUCAUUUCAUUUUUAUUGCAUACAUUGCUCUGCGGGCUUUUUCUUUGAGUGCGU